AGCAAACCCCAAGACAACAAUGUGAGUAACUGGGGAGGAGCUGCUUCUGUGAAACAGACAGGAACAGGGUGGAUCGGGGGGCCGGUACCAGUCAAACAGAAGGACAGCAGUGAGGCAACUGGCUGGGAAGAACCCUCUCCACCGUCCAUUCGCCGCAAAAUGGAAAUUGAUGAUGGUACCUCAGCUUGGGGGGACCCAAGCAACUAUAACAAUAAAACUGUAAACAUGUGGGAUAGAAACAACCCGGUCAUCCAGAGCAGUACCACGACCAAUACCACCACCACCACCACCACCACGAGCAACACCACACACAGGGUGGAGACGCCGCCACCACACCAGGCCAGUACUCAGCUGAAUCGAUCACCGUUGCUCGGUCCAGUUUCAUCAGGCUGGGGAGAAAUGCCUAAUGUUCACUCAAAGACUGAAAACUCUUGGGGAGAACCAUCCUCCCCUUCUACCCUGGUGGAUAAUGGCACAGCAGCAUGGGGGAAGCCACCCAGCAGUGGCAGCGGGUGGGGAGAUCACCCUACCGAGCCGCCGGUGGCAUUUGGAAGAGCUGGUGCACCUGUUGCUGCCUCAGCCCUGUGCAAACCAGCUUCAAAAUCUAUGCAAGAAGGCUGGGGCAGUGGUGGGGAUGAAAUGAACCUCAGUACCAGCCAGUGGGAGGAUGAAGAAGGGGACGUGUGGAAUAAUGCUGCUUCCCAAGAAAGCACCUCCUCCUGCAGUUCCUGGGGGAACGCCCCCAAAAAAGGACUUCAAAAGGGCAUGAAGACGUCUGGCAAGCAGGAUGAGGCCUGGAUCAUGAGCCGGCUGAUCAAACAACUCACAGACAUGGGCUUCCCGAGAGAGCCAGCUGAGGAGGCCUUGAAGAGUAACAAUAUGAAUCUUGAUCAGGCCAUGAGCGCUCUGCUGGAAAAGAAGGUGGACGUGGACAAGCGUGGGCUGGGAGUGACCGACCAUAAUGGAAUGGCCGCCAAGCCCCUCGGCUGCCGCCCGCCAAUCUCCAAAGAGUCUUCCGUGGACCGCCCCACCUUUCUUGACAAGGAUGGCGGCCUCGUGGAAGAGCCCACGCCUUCACCGUUCUUGCCUUCCCCAAGCCUGAAGCUCCCCCUUUCACACAGUGCACUCCCCAGUCAGGCCCUGGGUGGGAUUGCCUCCGGGCUGGGCAUGCAAAACUUGAAUUCUUCUAGACAGGUAAGGCUGUUUGGGGAGAGCAAAAUGUGGCCUUUGUUUUACCUGCCUUCUAAAAAAUGUGUUUGAGACAUAAACUUUCUUAUUUAUAGUUCAUACCUCUAUUUUUAAAUAUGACUGAAAAAGUAGUUGAAAUACUACCAGGAUUUCCUUUCAGGUGACUUACUGGAGUCAAGAGUUGAAGUAGGAAAUGCUUUAGCUAUAUUUAUGCUUACACUUAAGUAAAACGUGUUUGAGCUCUCAGCACCCUUGGUGCUAACUUGGGACUGGCUAAAGUGAUGAUGUGUUGCACAGUGGUCUUCGGCUGCCGCAUCCAUCCAGAGGUCCCGGUAGUGCCCACGCUGUUUCCUCAUGGCAGCCAGAACGACGUCACAUCUGUUGAUCUGCGAGAAAGCAGCACAUUCUCCCCUUUUCCCACAAAUAAAGAUGACAUCUCUUGCAAGGUG
rnacentral:sRNA from 1 species